GCACAAGCGGAGGAACAUUGUGGUUUAAUUCGAUGAUACGCGAGGAACCUUACCUGGGCUUAAAUGGGGAGUGACAGCUGUCGAAAGAUGGUUUCUUCGGACACUCUUCAAGGUGCUGCAUGGUUGUCGUCAGCUCGUGCCGUGAGGUGUCGGGUUAAGUCCCAUAACGAGCGCAACCCUUACCGUUAGUUACCAUCAGGUUAAGCUGGGGACUCUAGCGGGACUGCCACCGUAAGGUGAGAGGAAGUGGGGAUGACGUCAAAUCAGCACGGCCCUUAUGUCCAGGGCUACACACGUGUUACAAUGGCCAGUACAAAGGGCAGCUACCGGGUGACCGGAUGCUAAUCUCUAAAGCUGGUCUCAGUUCGGAUCGAAGUCUGCAACCCGACUUCGUGAAGCUGGAUUCGCUAGUAAUCGCGCAUCAGCCAUGGCGCGGUGAAUACGUUCCCGGGCCUU
rnacentral:rRNA from 1 species